ensembl:lncRNA
AGCAUGAAAUAAGAUACAGAAUCAGUAAAUUCGAUUUUUAAUGUGGGUAUAUUAUCAGUGAACUAAUCAUUAAAUAUUUGUAAUCAUUCAUAAAAUAUUGGCCCCUUUCAUAAUGAUGUUGUUCAGAAAUGAAGGCCACAAUGCUAAUGUUGUCCACACGAUGGCGCCACAGGAUAGAAAAUACUUCAAUAUCUGUUCAAAGAUUUUAAAAUGUUCCAUUUAUGUGCAUAAGUAUAAAAUGCAUAUACAUGCAUUCUAUUUUCAUAAACUUUAAUAAAGCCCAAUAUAGUAUUUAUGCAAAAACUGUAAUCCCCUAAGUACCAUUACGUUUUUUUCUUAUUUUAAUAGUAUUGACAACAUAUUUAUCAAGUUAUCACACAUAAAGUGAAGAAAAGAAACUAUAUUACUUAUCUAUUUUUCAUAUCAAUUUUCACCUUGACUUAAACCACAUUGUUUCUUUUUACCUUCUGUGUUGUUGCCUACAAUACUUCAGUUAGAGGAAUGGGAAAUAGCAAACAGGGGGAAAAAAGGCAUGACUUAUUUCGCAUGCAGCUAGCCAAAGCUGUUGAAACUGUUGUCAUAACCAAGGCUUUUUAUUGGAACAGAAAACAGCAAGGGUCCAUUGAAAAAUACUGUUGGAAGUUUUUUUUUUCCACCAAGGCAGCUCAAGAAGGUUGGACACACAAGUACAGUGGCUCUUUUGGCCCAAGGCCAAGCCAACAUCAAAGUUAGUUCACUAACUUUACAUUCUAGUUAUUAUGUUGGCUUGGCACAAGCCAACAUACUGUUAUGCUAUUUAAACUUCUUCUUAUUAUUAUUAUUAUUAUUAUUAUUUUUAUUAUUCUUCAUCUUCUUCUGAUACCAAAAUUUCCAAACGCUUCUCCUCCUAGGGCUUUAAAGCCACAAGCCCCAAACUCGGCAGAGACCUGCGGCACGGGGUGUAGUUUGUUGCUAUAUCUUUUCAGACUGAUCAGACUUACAGUUUUUUUAUUAUUAAUUAUUAAAAGUCAAAAAUUUCCCAUAGACUUCCAUUGUCUGAGAAAAAUUGCGCCUCUACAGGAGCAAUUCCCGGGACUGAGGGAGGAGUCUGCCUUUGUUUCACUUUUAAAUCGGUUAAAAAUACAAGUAAAUACAUGAAUUUAUUUCACACUGACAAGCUAAACCAACAUAUUUGAAUAUUACAGGGGUCAGGGCUUAUUAAAAAUGUAUAUCUGGCCACAGAAGAGAGAGAAAGACGAGAGAGAAUUCACCGCUCCGUUCAGCGAGUGGUCUUACAACGGGCUCACAACAAACGAAUUUAUUCUUGUUCAAGACCUUUUAAAAAUAAAAUAUUACAGCGAUUGCACACAAUCCACCCAUUAGAACAAACCAAGAGCUUAAAGUGGGUGUUUUUGAGCUGCUGACGUUUGAAAAUGAACGAUUUGCAUCAGCUCUUUUCACAGCGCGAGACGCCGCGGCUUCUCGUCCAGUCGCACUACGAUCUCACAACAAACGUAUUUAUUCUUGUUUAAGACCUUAUAAAAAUAAAAUAUUACAGCGAUUGCACACAAUCCACCCAUUAGAACAAACCAAGAGCUAAAAGUGGGUGUUUUUCAGCUGUUGAAGUUUGAAAAAUGAACGAUUUGCGUCAGCUCUUUUGACAGCGCGAGCCCUCGCGGCUUCUCGUGCAGUCGCACAGCGAGCUCACAACAAACGAAUUUAUUCCUGUUUAAGACCUUUUAAAAAUAAAAUAUUACAGCGAUUGCACACAAUCCACCCAUUAGAACAAACCAAGAGCUAAAAGUGGGUGUUUUUCAGCUGUUGAAGUGUGGAAAAUGAAGGAUUUGCGUCAGCUCUUUUGACAGCGCGAGACGGCGCGGCUUCUCGUGCAGUGACACAACGAGCUCGCAAGAAACGAAUUUAUUCUUGUUUAAGACCUUUUAAAAAUAAAAUAUUACAGCGAUUGCACACAAUCCACCCAUUAGAACAAACCAAGAGCUAAAAAGUGGGUGUUUUUUUUCAGCUGUUGAAGUGUGGAAAAAUGAAGGAUUUGCGUCAGCUCUUUUGACAGCGCGAGACGGCGCGGCUUCUCGUGCAGUGACACAACGAGCUCGCAAGAAACGAAUUUAUUCUUGUUUAAGACCUUUUAAAAAUAAAAUAUUACAGCGAUUGCACACAAUCAACCCAUUAGAACAAACCAAGAGCUAAAAGUGGGUGUUUUUUUCAGCUGUUGAAGUGUGGAAAAAUGAAGGAUUUGCGUCAUCUAUUUUGACAACGCGAGACCGCGCGGCUUCACAACGAUCUCACAACAAACGAGUUUAUUCCUGUUUAAGACCUUUUAAAAAUAAAAUAUUACAGCGAUUGCACACAAUCCACCCAUUAGAAGAAACCAAGAGCUAAAAGUUGGUGUUUUUCAGCUGUUGAAGUGUGAAAAAUGAAGGAUUUGCGUCAUCUAUUUUGACAACGCGAGACAGCGCGGCUUCACAAGGACCUCACAACAAAGGAGUUUAUUCCUGUUUAAGACCUUUUAAAAAUAAAAUAUUACAGAGAUUGCUCACAAUACUCCCAUUAGAAGAAACCAAGAGCUAAAAGUUGGUGUUUUUCAGCUGUUGAAGUGUGGAAAAUGAACGAUUUGCGUCAGCUCUUUCGACAGCGCGAGUCGGCUCGGCUUCUCGUGCAGUGACACAACAGAGCUCGCAAGAUAGGAAUUUUUUCUUGUUUCAAGACCUUUUAAAAAAAUAAAAAUAUUACAGCGAUUGCACACAAUCCACCCAUUAGAACAGAGCUUAAAAGUGGGUGUUUUUUUGAGCUGUUGACGUUUGAAAAAUGAACGAUUUGCAUCAGCUCUUUUCACAGCGCGAGACGCCGCGGCUUCUCGUCCAGUCGCACUACGAUCUCACAACAAACGUAUUUAUUCUUGUUUAAGACCUUAUAAAAAUAAAAUAUUACAGCGAUUGCACACAAUCCACACAUUAGAACAAACCAAGAGCUAAAAAGUGGGUGUUUUUUUCAGCUGUUGAAGUGUGGAAAAAUGAAGGAUUUGCGUCAGCUCUUUUUGACAGCGCGAGACGGCGCGGCUUCUCGUGCAGUCGCACAGCGAGCUCACAACAAACGAAUUUAUUCCUGUUUAAGACCUUUUAAAAAUAAAAUAUUACAGCGAUUGCACACAAUCCACCCAUUAGAACAAACCAAGAGCUAAAAGUGGGUGUUUUUCAGCUGUUGAAGUGUGGAAAUGAAGGAUUUGCGUCAGCUCUUUUUGACAGCGCGAGACGGCGCGGCUUCUCGUGCAGUGACACAACGAGCUCGCAAGAAACGAAUUUAUUCUUGUUUAAGACCGUUUAAAAAUAAAAUAUUACAGCGAUUGCACACAAUCAACCCAUUAGAACAAACCAAGAGCUAAAAAGUGGGUGUUUUUUUCAGCUGUUGAAGUGUGGAAAAAUGAAGGGUUUUGCGUCAUCUAUUUUGACAACGCGAGACCGCGCGGCUUCACAAAGACCUCACAACAAACGAGUUUAUUCCUGUUGAAGACCUUUUAAAAAUAAAAUAUUACAGCGAUUGCACACAAUCCACCCAUUAGAACACACCAACGGCUAAAUUCAGAUUUUUGUGAGCUGGUAAAUUGUAAAAUUGAAUGAUUUGCAGCAGACUCUCUGACGGCUCGAGACUUCAACACUGGCAUGGGGAAAAAUGUCUACAUACUGAAACUAUAGCCUUUUACAUUAAAAACACUCCAGCGAAUCAGUACAAAACAAUUAGAAGAAUAUAUUAUAGAGAUUAAAAUGAGUGCUGGUGAGAUAUUUUUUUUGUCUUAAGGCAGAAAAAGACAUUGCAUCGAUCUCUCGAGUUACAGAGGACGCUGAUUCUAUCUUUUCGGUGCAAAAACGGACAAAUCACAUAAAAGAGUAUUUCAAAAUACAUAAUAGCUUGGCGAAUAUAAACGAAAACAGCCACAUGAAUAUAAACUGUAGAAAAAUAAAUCGGAAAUGGAUUAUGAUACUGGAUUUGAAUAUUAAAGUGACUGCAUUUACCAGCUGCUUUCUGUUUUCAAUUUUAAUCUAUAAAAAAACAGAAAAAUCAUUCGUCUUGGCUGCUUUUUUUGUAUGUCUAUAUUUUGUAUUGUCAAUAGUAAAUAUUAUGAAAAAAAUAACUGUUGUAAUUUUGUCAUCAUUAUAUAGUUUAUGUAUUAUAAUUGCAAAAAAAUAAUUUAUCAACUCACAUAGUUAUCAUUCAUCACUGCUUGAAAAUGUAAGUUGAAAAAUAAACUCUUAAAGCAUGAAAUAAGCUACAGAAUCAGUAAAUUCGAUUUUAAUGUGGGUAUAUUAUCAGUGAACUAAUCAUUAAACAUUUGUAAUCAUUCAAAAAAUAUUGGCCCCUUUCAUAAUAUUGUUCAGAAAUGAAGGCCAAAAUGCUAAUGUUAUCUACACGAUGGCGCCACAGGAUAGCAAAUACUUCAAUAUCUGUUCAAAGAUUUUAAAAAAAGUUUCAUUUAUGUGCAUAAAUAUAAAAUGCAUAUACAUGCAUUCUAUUUUCAUAAACUUUAAUAAAGCCCAAUAUAGUAUUUAUGCAAAAACUGUAAUCUCCUAAGUACCAUUCUUUUUUCUUAUUUUAAUAGUAUUGACAACAUAUUUCUCAAGUUAUCACACAUAAAGUGAAGAAAGGAAACUAUAUUAGUUAUCUAUUUUCAUAUCUAUUUUCACAUUGUUUCUUUUACCUUCUGUGUUGUUGCCUACAACACUUCAGUUAGAGGACUGAGAAAUAGCAAACAGGGGAAAAAAAGACAUGACUUAUUUCGCAUGCAGCUAGGCAAACCUGUUGAAGCUGUUGUCAUAGCCUAGGCUUUUUAUUGCAACAGAAAACAGCAAGGGUCCAUUGAAAAAUACUGUUGGAAGUUUUUUUUUUUUCCACCAAGGCAGCUCCAGAAGGUUGGACACACAAGUACAGUGGCUCUUUUGGCCCAAGGCCAAGCCAACAUCAAAGUUAGUUCACUAACUUUACAUUCUAGUUAUGUUGACUUGGCACAAGCCAACAUACUGUUAUGCUAUUUAAACUUCUUUUUAUUAUUCUUCAUCUUCUUCUGAUACCAAAAUUUCCAAACGCUUCUCCUCCUAGGGCUUUAAAGCCACAAGCCCCAAACUCGGCAGAGACCUGCGGCACGGGGUGUAGUUUGUUGCUAUAUCUUUUCAGACUGAUCAGACUUACAGUUUUUUUAUUAUUAAUUAUUAAAAGUCAAAAAUUUCCCAUAGACUUCCCAUUGUCUGAGAAAAAAAUUGCGCCUCUACAGGAGCAAUUCCCGGGACUGAGGGAGGAGUCUGCCUUUAGUUUCACUUUUUAAAUCGGUUAAAAAAAUACAAGUAAAUACAUGAAUUUAUUUCACACUGACAAGCUAAACCAACAUAUUUGAAUAUUACAGGGGUCAGGGCUUAUUAAAAAUGUAUAUCUGGCCACAGAAGAGAGAGAAAGACGAGAGAGAAUUCACCGCUCCGUUCAGCGAGUGGUCUUACAACGGGCUCACAACAAACGAAUUUAUUCUUGUUCAAGACCUUUUAAAAAUAAAAUAUUACAGCGAUUGCACACAAUCCACCCAUUAGAACAAACCAAGAGCUUAAAGUGGGUGUUUUUGAGCUGCUGACGUUUGAAAAUGAACGAUUUGCAUCAGCUCUUUUCACAGCGCGAGACGCCGCGGCUUCUCGUCCAGUCGCACUACGAUCUCACAACAAACGUAUUUAUUCUUGUUUAAGACCUUAUAAAAAUAAAAUAUUACAGCGAUUGCACACAAUCCACCCAUUAGAACAAACCAAG